rnacentral:rRNA from 1 species
AACGAACGCUGGCGGCAUGCCUAACACAUGCAAGUCGAACGAGACCUUCGGGUCUAGUGGCGCACGGGUGCGUAACGCGUGGGAACCUGCCCUUAGGUUCGGAAUAACUCCCCGAAAGGGGUGCUAAUACCGGAUAAUGUCUUCGGACCAAAGAUUUAUCGCCUUUGGAUGGGCCCGCGUUGGAUUAGCUAGUUGGUAGGGUAAAAGCCUACCAAGGCGACGAUCCAUAGCUGGUCUGAGAGGAUGAUCAGCCACACUGGGACUGAGACACGGCCCAGACUCCGACGGGAGGCAGCAGUGGGGAAUAUUGGACAAGGGGCGAAAGCCUGAUCCAGCAAGGCCGCGUGAGUGAUGAAGGCCUUAGGGUUGUAAAGCUCUUUUACCCGGGAUGAUAAUGACAGUACCGGGAGAAUAAGCUCCGGCUAACUCCGUG